rnacentral:rRNA from 1 species
UACGUAGGGUGCAAGCGUUGUCCGGAUUUAUUGGGCGUAAAGAGCUCGUAGGCGGUCUGUCGCGUCGGAUGUGAAAACCCAGGGCUCAACCCUGGGCCUGCAUUCGAUACGGGCAGGCUAGAGUUCGGUAGGGGAGACUGGAAUUCCUGGUGUAGCGGUGAAAUGCGCAGAUAUCAGGAGGAACACCGAUGGCGAAGGCAGGUCUCUGGGCCGAUACUGACGCUGAGGAGCGAAAGCGUGGGGAGCGAACAGG